UACGAAGGUCCCGAGCGUUGUUCGGAAUCACUGGGCGUAAAGGGAGCGUAGGCGGCGUGGUAAGUCAGAUGUGAAAUCCCGGGGCUCAACCCCGGAACUGCAUCCGAUACUGCCGUGCUCGAGGGUUGGAGAGGUAGCUGGAAUUAUCGGUGUAGCAGUGAAAAUGCGUGGAUAUCGAUAGGAACACUCGUGGCGAAGGCGAGCUACUGGACAACAUCUGACGCUGAGGCUCGAAGGCCAGGGGAGCAAAAGGG
rnacentral:rRNA from 1 species